GUACAGCUUCUGUCUUAUGUUAUAAUUUAAAACUUUGAUGCGAUCUUUAACAGAAAUACCUCAAUUGCAGGAGUGCAACAUCACAAGUAUGGAUGAUUACUGCAAUCUACACUUCCGCCACCUUGGACAGGCAGGUCCCCAAAGGCUUACAGUUAAAGCAGGUGCCAUCAACGAAUCACCUGUGACAAUGGGCCUCAUCUUUAACAGAGUGGACCUGGUGGAGAGGAUGUGUUGGGCUUGUUUCUUCAGUCUUCUCUUCACCCUGUGGAGUUUCUAAGGGACUUGGAUAAAGGAAGCUACAAGAAAUAUAAAUAACUUAUUGUGGAGAACAAGAACAUUCUGACACUGCAAAUUCAGGGCAUAUACAAGGGAUGACAGAUUCCUCUACAGCACUCACCAGUAGCUGUAUUUAGAAAAAAGAGGUGGGAUUUUAUGUUAAAUUUUAUAUUGCACCAAGAUUUAUUGCACCAAGAUUAUUGUAAAGACAUAUAUUGAUCUGAAGGAAAGAAGGAGUUGGUCUUCAGUCUGUUCUGGCGGGAUAGACCUCUAGCUCUGACCCUAAUGAUCCUGUACAUUAAAAAAAAAAAAAAAAAAAAAGACUUGCAAAAACACAUUGCUUCAUUACUCUCCCUUUAGUUAGUUCAUUUUGUAUGAAGCAAUAAUUACAGUCUCACUGGGGAGAGGGAUAGUGCCCUGUAUGUCCUGUAGACUGUCUAGCACAAUAGUCAUCAUGACCUUUAAACUGAAGGUUUUAGAUUCUAAUCCAUUAGAAAUAAUGAAAUAUAUAUACAUAUCACUACAUUGACUUUUCUGUUUAGCUUUCUCUAAACAUCAAAACAAAAAAUCUUACCAAAUCUACAUGUUUUUAAAUUUCACAUACACUAGCUUUCAGUAAGAUGGAAGUUUUUUUCAGAAUUCACAAGGUGAAUGAUUUCCCAAAAUUCUGACAGAUAUUAAGAAAUACAAUUUCAUCUUGCAUUAUUGAGCUACAGAAGAAGAGUUAUUUAAGCCGCUGGUCUGGUAAUCUGCUGACCGGAGAUUAGUUUCUGGUAUGCUUUGAAUGCUUUGAACUAUUUACAUGAUGAUAAGUUAUACUUCAUCUGUAAAAGUCAGUCUUAAAGCACUUCAUUCCUUCUGUUUGAGUUGACUUGUACAUAUAUUGUACAAGUAAAUAAAAUACACUAGAUACUGCA
rnacentral:lncRNA from 1 species